UUGGAAGGGAUGUAUCUAUUAGAUAAAAAACCAAUGCCCUUCGGGGCUUUUUUGGUGAUUCAUGAUAACUUUACGGAUCGCAUAGCCUUGCGCUGGCGACGGUUCAUUCAAAUUUCUGCCCUAUCAACUUUCGAUGGUAAGGUAUUGGCUUACCAUGGUUUCAACGGGUAACGGGGAAUUAGGGUUCGAUUCCGGAGAGGGAGCCUGAGAAACGGCUACCACAUCCAAGGAAGGCAGCAGGCGCGCAAAUUACCCAAUCCCGACACGGGGAGGUAGUGACAAUAAAUACUGAUACAGGGCUCUUUUGGGUCUUGUAAUUGGAAUGAGUACAAUUUAAACCUCUUAACGAGGAACAAUUGGAGGGCAAGUCUGGUGCCAGCAGCCGCGGUAAUUCCAGCUCCAAUAGCGUAUAUUAAAGUUGUUGCAGUUAAAAAGCUCGUAGUUGAAACUUGGGCCUGGCUGGCGGGUCCGCCUCACCGCGUGCACUCGUCCGGCCGGGCCUUCCUUCUGAAGAACCUCAUGCCCUUCACUGGGCGUGCUGGGGAACCAGG
rnacentral:rRNA from 1 species